AGCACAACAGGUCUCGGGCCGUUUGAAAAAUCUGCUCCGGUUCAACGACUCACGCACUGGCGAGUAGCUUUGUUUGACCAGCAAUAUGGCGCUGUGAAAACGGUGACGUCAAGUGCAUGAUCUCUAUAGCUGUCCUCAAGUGUAACUGGACACAACUGGAAAUAUAACACCCUAACUCCGAGAUAAGGAUGGUUGUUUGGUGGCAAAUCAACAACUCUAUUCAUUAAGGGGAAGCACAUUUUUACAACCUUGGAACCUGAGGCAUCAGCGGGAGGCGUUCACAGAGGAUGACCUCUCAGCGUGAUUCCCAACUGCUUCUGUACUCUAUUUGCCUCCGCUAUCUAUUUUCAGUACAAGCCAAUUAUUUAUUGACGCUCCUUCCUUUCCAUCAUCCGCCUUAGGAACUGCCUUCAUCGGCCUCAAGCUUGACAGAUUCACAUUAAAUUAAACAGUGCAUACCUUUAGCCUGGAGAACGAAUUUUGCAGAAAAAGAUUCACGGAGGAUGAGCUUUUGACUGCCUAGCAUAGAAUGAGUUUUCUUUUUACAAAUGUUUGUACUAGGCCCACAUCAUGUCAACAUUUGGUGUAAAUGCGCAAGUAUUUAUUUUAAUUUGGAAUGACCUUGGUGGGGACCUGACUAAUAUCAUGCUAGAGAAACUACAGAAGUGAUACACUGUGCUGUGCUUCUCCCCAUUUAUAUGAACAUUAUAAUUCCAAUGUGGCCGGUGGCACAACUGUGCACCAGAGGCAAGCUAGACAGAUGAUAAUUUUGUAGAGCAGUGCAAUCCAACGCAACCGGGAGUAUGUGGGCUGCACAACUGUGGGAAUGUAUUCAUCCAAUAAAAGCCAGUCCUGUCAUCCCCUUUAAAUGUAACACAAGCGACAGUCUCAAGUAUACAGAUGAAAAUGAUGCGGAAUCGCUGCAAAAUCACCUGGUGAUAACUGCUAGUGUCUUCAUUUUGUCAGCAGACCUGAGUAUCUGGCUGCCUGUGCCCUGAUGAAAUUCACCCAAAAUCACAUUACUCCGGUGGCCAAACUUGCACUGGCAGUUAGAGGUUUAUGAACAACCAUAAAUUUACCAAAGACUGACUUUCUGUGACCCAACAGUGACUCAGCCAGACAUAUGUCCAAGGACAGCCCCUCUGCCUCAGGCUUGUCUUCCACAUUUGCAAAAAGACUGUGAUCUUGCAUGAAAAUCAGGAUUCACCAGCAUUUGCGUCCCGCCGCAGAUGUUCUGCCUACGAAAAUAGGUCUGCAGACCAUACAGUUAAACAUUAUUGUCCACUUUGAAAAGCUCGUAGACAGAGUCACGACAGACACAGACACAUAACGAAAUCACUGCAAAUCUUUUUGCAGUCAAAUCACUUUUUCACAGCCAAUUGUUGCUAGGCAGUAUUCAUGGAGAACGACAUUCAAUGAAGGCUAAUAGUGCCAGGGCAACUACACAGUACUAACCUUAUUUUCAUCCAUUCAGAGUCCAACCCUUAUUGGAGAUUUUUUUUCCUCCACUACCUGCUGUCACGCUUCCUGCAUACAAAUGAAUUCAUUAAUGGUGGCAUUUUCCUGCUAUUUCUAAUGACUGAACUUCACCUCAAAAUGUCAUAUAGACACAUAUUGUUUCCCCGAUUACUGCUAACCUUUGUGUGAACCUACAAUUAACAGUUGUUCUCAAAUAGCUGACAAGUACUGGCAUGACCUUCUACUUUGCAAAGUCUAGAUGAAAUUAAUCUGAUAUGAAUUAGUAACAAUUUGGGAGGUCUUAAAGUGGAACAUCCUACCUAGAAUACACCUUGGCCUGGGAUUUGUUCAGAAUUACACUGUAAGACAAUUUCCCUAAAGUAUAGGCAAUAACAGAUGAAAUGUUGUGAUCCACUUCAGCCGUAACGGGGUCCUCAAAACAGACACAGAAACACUUGAACAAUGAUAUCCAUUUUAUUCACUAACAAGGGACCACAUAACUGUGAAAAACAAAACAACUGAAUAAACAAAAAGGAGGAAAACGAGGAGAAAGUCAGUGUGACACAAAACUGAUACAUACACGGUAUGUAAUGCACUCUAAAAUGAACUAUAGGAGGAUGAAGACAAAAGAGGAAGGAAGGAUCCCUAAAGAUAAAUUGGCCCUAACCUACUACUACCUACACUAGGAAGAAUUAAAACGUAAUAAAAUAUUUCUACUUGUAUUCGACCAACAAAAGGGAGAAACAAAAAGUCAGAAAGCAAUUAUACUGGGAAGAAACAAACAAAUUAUAUAACUUGUGGCUUCUGUGGUGACGAGUAAUAUGGAGUGCUAAUCCAGUACCUUCUUUCCACUGAGACUAAAUUUAAAUGACCCAUCCCAUGGCACGAUUUGCCAGCAGGUAGGAAAGCUCCGCUCACCAGCAAUCCCAAAACUCACCGUGAAGGCAAAAAAAAAAAAAAAAAAAAAGAGCGAACAGGAUGCAGUAUGUCGCCAUUUCAUAGAACAACAUUGAAAUAAUGACUCUUUUCUACAUUGUACUGUAGACACUGUGCAGCUUGUAUAACAGUGUAAAUUUACUGUCCCUUUAAAAUAAUUCAACACUCAGCCAUUAAUGUCUAAACUGCUGGCAACAAGAGCGAGUGAUUACACCUGUAAGUGAAAGUAAAUUACCAAUUUUCCCUCCCGGGUGUCAUGACCUCUUCAAUAUUACAAGGCGGGAUAAAUCUGGAAUUAUCGCGUUUAGACUGAUCAUUGUAAUAGGGCACCUCACUGUAAAUAAAAAAAUAAAGCUGGCCUUCGGCUAUAGCAGUGGUAAAGUGGCCAAGACCAUAUGUCACUUUAACACCACAGGUUCGCAUGAGAGCAGCCCUUGCCAUGGUCGACCAAAGACGUUGCGUGCACGUGCUCCGCAUCAUAUCUAGAAUGUAUCUUUGGAAAAUAAAUGCAGCUGCCAGCAUUGCUGCAAAGGAUGAAGGAGCGGGGGAGGGGGGGGGGGGUCAGCCUGUCAGUGUUCAGAGCAUAUUCCUCACACUGCGUCAAGUUGUUCUGCACGCCCGUUGCCCCAGAAGUAAGUCUUCUGUAAAGAUUAUGCACAAGAACACUUGCACACUGCUGAAAACGGGCAGACUAAGUACAUGGAUUACAGGCGCCAGGCCUUAUGGUCCGAUGCGACUGCCCUCAGCUUCCGCCAAACGGCGUUUCCAAGUAACCUUUGCAAUUCCUAGUCAUCAUUCCGACCGUCGUGAUUGUUAAUUGUCCUCAGUUUUUUUUUGUGUUCUGUGGAUUUCUGCCACCACACCACACGAGCCUGUCCUCAUCGCUGCCUGCCAAACGUUCCCUGCCUCAAAAAUCCACCAGCACAUCUCAAGGACCAUCUCAACUCCCCUUUUAAGAAAACUUUUCAUCACAACCACUCAGCUUCCUCUGCACUUGAGUCCAAUUAUGACAGUACAAGAUGGAAUACUUUAUACAACCAUAAUAUCGGCACAUAAUUGAAGACAAUUUGCAAUUUUAGAACUUAAUUUUCGGAAAUGUCAUAGACACACCAUUUGUUUUAGUGAGCCAUCCCCAGGUCUUGAAUUUGAAUCCUACGUUUAAAACCUUUGAAUUUAGACCUUGUGACCUUUCCAUAACCUUGGCUGAAUACUUUGCAAAGGCCAGCUGGUGUUGGUUGAACAGCAAACACAGUUGUGUGGCCUGUGGACGCGUGUGUGUGCGUGUGUGUUACUGCAUCUGUGUGUGCUCAUGCGGACAUGGCUUGGCUUCCAGCCCGCUUGUUCAGGUACCAUUAGUCGGUUACCAAGUAGUUCCUGUGACAGUGGUCUCGUCCAGGGCCACUGGAGCUUCAUGCUAGGACUGCAAAGUUUCCUUUCUGAGCGCCUGAUGCUCUCGCGGCGGUGAACAGGCGAGCUAUUGUGCCUGUUUUAAACAUCACUUCAAAGGGUUCCCUCAGCCUCAUUUUCCACCACUUGUUUACUGUCUUAACUACCAAGAAGAGUUUAGUUCCCGGGGAGGGGCGGUCGACAGCGCUGUUGCAGUAAUUACUUGAAUCUGUUGAGAAUGAUUUUCAUUUUUUUAUCUGUCACACUCAUGUUAUACAGUAUAGUGUUUCUAACUCUUGACUUUCUGUAUUUGAUUGGCUAUAGAUUACUGCCUUUAGUUGUAUAUUUAACAUAUGUUUGUCUCUAAUGAAAGAGCAACACACAGCACAGCUCAUAUACAAAGCAAUGUCAUGCUCCUAUUUUUAACAAUCCAUGCAGGAAUUGUGUUAAAGUUCAGGAAUGAAUAAUUGACAUCAUUAAGAAAUAAAGAAAUGCACAAAA